CGGUGAGUUGUCUGAACGCACCCAAUAUUUCAAAUCAGAAAGGGCAUCGGUCCUUUGAGCCAUAUAUGCACCAAACCAAUCAGAAAGGGAGUGUAUGUCACUAAAGGAUUUCUCAGUGAUAUGAUAGUGCUAACUGAUGAUAAACACAGGACAAAAUAGUUGUUCUAAUUUAUUUGACGUCUUCGUCCUCCACGAAUCAACAUAAAUAUUGGACUAUUUACAUUCCUCACAUAUUGUUCUCAACAUUGUUCUCUGAAGUAGCGAACAAAAUAUCUCUGAAAGCAAACAAAAUGUCUAAUACAGCCAAUUUGAAAUAUACUUGUAUCGCUGACCUUGUAAAAAAGGCUAAAGUUAAUAUGGCGGGAAAAGAGCCACGCAGUGUAAAUUCAAGGCUUCCCACUAUGCGACAGAAAUCUGAUGAUUUAAGAAAAGAAGGAGAUGAUGAGAAUGCUUACAUUAUGUUGCAGAGAUGGUUAGAAACAGUUGAGUGGAUAAGAAAAACUACGGACUAUAAAAAUAGCAAAUCAGUGUAUUCUACGAAUAUAAAUACUGAUCAGAUAAAUGAAGUGGAAAACAUACUUGCAGAAUUGAAGCAAAAGUUAGAGAUACGCUAUGAGUGUAAUUCCAAGAAACACAAUAUUUCUGGAGAGAAAAUGGAGAUAGAUGGAUAGAAUGGCGUAUGGAUAUUAACGGCCCUUUAGCCACUACCAAACCGAACCGAACCGGUAUUGACGGUUAAGUUUCAAAAGGAUCUCGGUUCAAAGAAGAGUUCUCGGUAUAUGACUUUGCGAGCGGAUUAUUGGAGCCCUCGAGCCGCAAAAAAGUCAAGUCAGGUUAAGACUUGUAAUAUGUAAAACAUUUUACUUUAAGGUAUUCGGAACUUGGUAUCAAUAUUAAUUAACGAGCAACACAUAAAUAUUUUUUAGAAUUUUAA